GUGUCAGCAGCCGCGGUAAUACAGAGGGUGCAAGCGUUAAUCGGAAUUACUGGGCGUAAAGCGCGCGUAGGUGGUUCGUUAAGUUGGAUGUGAAAUCCCCGGGCUCAACCUGGGAACUGCAUCCAAAACUGGCGAGCUAGAGUAGGGCAGAGGGUGGUGGAAUUUCCUGUGUAGCGGUGAAAUGCGUAGAUAUAGGAAGGAACACCAGUGGCGAAGGCGACCACCUGGGCUCAUACUGACACUGAGGUGCGAAAGCGUGGGGAGCAAACAGGAUUAGAAACCCGUGUAGUCC
rnacentral:rRNA from 1 species